UUACAGGUUGAAGAUCAAGGUCAAGUUCAAAGAGUGAGCUAUAGUCAGAACAUUAGUGGAUCAGGGUGAGAUUCCAGGUUAAUUUUAAAGUUAACCCAAGGUCAUGUCAAGGGGAUCAUAGUCAGGAUCAUUAGUGUAAGAAGGACAAGGUCCGGAUCAAGUGGUUCUUGGUUAAAACCAGGGGCUCUGUGAGAUGGAGGAUGAUCAGGGCUGGGACAAGGGUUAACUUCAUGGUCAUUUCAUGAUUAAAUUCAAGGGUAAGUUCAGCAUUGAUCUUGGUUAAUUAGCAUGGCAGCAUCAGGCUGAAGGUCAAUUUUGAAGUUUAAGUUCAUCCCAAAGUUGUAAUGAAUAUUAAAUGUGAUGUUUAGGGUCAAGCUCAAAAUGAAGGUAAUUCAAGAGAAACAUGAUAUCCAAAGGGUGAGAGACUGGAUCAGGGUUAGGAUCGAGGGAAGGUUCUAGCAUAAAACCAAGUCCAAGAUCACUUUAUAGCCAGGGCGGGUCAAGGUUGGGUUCACAGAAAAGGUCCAGUUUGAGGUAAAGAACGGAGUCAACUUAUAAUCAGGAUGAGACAUGGUCAGAAUCAGGGCAGUAUCAGGUCAGGUUCAAAGGGUGAAACAUGGUCAGAAUGAGUUUCAAGGUCAUUUCAAAGCCAGGAAGAUCAUCAAGGUCAUAGUGAAGGUUAAGAGGUUCAGCAUCAAGUUCAUGUUCAAGAUCAGACUGGGGGCAAAAUCAUGGGUCUUUAUUUUUUAUUUUUUACAUUUUAUUUAUUUUUGAUAGAGACUGAAUACAGUGGGGGAGGGGCAGAGAGAGACAGAGAGACAGAGACACAGAAUCCAAAGUAGGCUCCAGGCUCUGAGCUGUCAACACAGAGCCCGACAUGGGGCUCAAACUCACAAACCAUGAGAUCAUGACCUGAGCCAAAGUUGGAUGCUAAACUGACUGAGCCACCCAGGUGCCCCUGUUUAUUUUUUUUUAGUUUAUUUUUAAGAGAGAGAGAGAGAGAGAGAGAGAGAGAGAGCGCGCGUGUGUGUGUACAAGCAAGGGAGAGGCGGGGGGGGGGGGGGGGGGGGGGGGGAGAGACACAGAAUCCGAAGCAAGCUUGAGUCUCUAAGCUGUCAGCACAGAGCCCGACGUGGGGCUCAAACCCAUGAACCUUGAGAUCAUGACCUGAGCUGAAGUCGUACACUUAACCAACUGAGCCACCCAGGCGCCCCCAAAUCAUGGGUCUUUAGAGUAUGUCUGGCUGAGCAUCAGGGUCUGGGUCAGGAUUAGUGAAACAAAUGAAGGAAAACUCAGCAAUAUAAAUUCACGUCAAGAGCCAGGUCUGAGAGUCUGAGCCAAUUAAGAGGAGUCUAAUUAGUGUAAGCACACUCAGUCUGAUUCAUUUGAUUUAUGUUACUCCUAACUGCAAGUUAGUCUAAACCAAGAUGGACACAAGAAGUGCGCUCCAUGCGUUCAUCUCUUUGGCACAUUCUUACUGGGAGGUAGAGUGAAUUAGCACGAAUCUAAUUAGUGCUAUUGAGAAGCAUCAUUAUUAGUUCAAAUGAGCUCGGUCUCAGGCAUUCUUCCUAAAGGCAAAACCUCAUUACCUAGUUAGUAUCAACUAACACGAACAUAAGCAAUGCAACACACAUUCAUCUCAAAGGCAUAUUUUUAAUGAGAAGUGGGAGGAAUUAGGUUCAAUCUGAAGAGGAGUUGGGAUAAGAAUUCCUGUCAAUGUAACAAAAUCGGCCUGGGACUCCUUAUAGGUUGUUGGAGCAAACCACCAGUAAACCCAGCAAUCCACACUCACACUGUGACACACAGUGACUUUGGGUCCAACUAAAGCAUACUACUUAAACAAAUCUGUGUUAGCGCAACAAACGCAUUCCCAUUCUUCUCAAAAGUAACAUCUCCCUAUCAGAGCAAACGGAGAUGAGCGUGAGCACAGCAACAGCAUCCGUCUCCAUUCACGUUCUUACCGGGAGGCAGAGCACAUUCAAAUGAACCCGAGGAGUGUUACUGAAGACAAUCCUAAGUAUCAAUGAAAACAAACUCCGUCCCACACAUCCUCCUCAAAAAUAAAUCCUUACCGCUUGUUGAAGCAAAUCGACUUGUUUGGCUCAAAAGCACAUGCUAAUGGUGAAUCUAAGUGGGAAUACGAAAAAAGAUACUGUACUAGUGCAGGGUUCAGUGUCAGCCAUUCCUUCUUUCUGUAAACGGCCAGGAUGGUUAUCCGUCUUAGAAUAAUGGUUGCGAUGAGAGGUCAAGGUGAAUCUCCACGUCACAUUUAAGGUUAGGACCAGAGAACAAGAUCGCUGAACAGGAGCCUGGUCUGUAGAGGAGCGCAUCACCCAGGGUCCAUAACCAGAGAAGAUCUAGGCCACGCGGCACCAGCCAAGGUGGAGUUGUAGCUGUGCGCUUCUGAGAAUGCUAUCUGUAACACACAAAUGGAGCCAACAGCAGGCGCGAGGGAAGGAACCAGAUGAGGAGCCUGAGACGUGGGAAUGUAGAAACGUGUAGCAAAGGAGAAUCCAAGAGCUUAGUCAACGGGGGCACUUCUAGAAGCAAAACCUACGCCAACCCUCUGACGUGGCAUCUAUUCAGUUCCAGCUGGUGACCUAGAAUGUUGAACACGGGGCCCCUGCUGCCACAUCUUCCUCUCCUGCGAAAGAUCAGAAAUCCAGAACUAUGUGGUAUCUAAGUAUCAGCAACUAUGCCAACCACAACACAGAACAAAAAGAACACAAAGGCUAAGUUAUAGUCAUACCCACAGGCUGUGCAUGGUCCACAGGCAACCAACACUCGGUAGCUGCUCCUCUAAAGGGACAACGUCUUCUCCAUUCAGAGUCCCCAGGCCCCAUCACUGUGAUUUAAAAAAAAACAAACCCCAAAACUAGGGGUAGGUACUGCACAGCUGGAUGUGACAAGGCCUUUCUGCCUCAGAGAACCACAUGAGCCCAGUUAUGGAGGGCUCUUUAGCUUGAUAAAGCACUGGCUAUGAUUAGCUAACAUGGUCUCUACCGAGCCAAGGGUCUAGAAGAAGGAAAAAAGACAGGGCAAAGGCAGAUGAUCUUUGUUCUUGUUACAUUUUAUUGGCAUCACGUUCAUCUCUUUACAGAAGAACUUGGCCCACACCCUAGAAUGUAGACCUUUGGAAAAGGGGGAAGUGCUCCGUUAAGCAAGCUACAAUGCAGGGGCAGAUCCUAGGGAGGGGGCAGAACUGCCAGGGUUCCAUACCAAAGAAACAGGUUAAUUAAUAAUGGGCAAGACUGGGAGUCGGUGGGGAAAAGGAGAAAAAGGUUUGCUAGCCUAAGGAUACCACAACCCUGAAAGGAGCGCCUUCUAGAACAAAGGUAAAAUCACUAGGACAGAUCUGUUAGGAUUUUCCUUUCCCUCUUAUCAGUAGGAUGCUGAUCUAUAGGGGAUCGAAGUGUGGAAGUGGGGAGGGGAGGAAAAAUGAGAAUUUUAACUUCUGAAACAACCAUUUAUCCAUUGCACGCACCACUGUAUUAUGCAAAUCAACCUUUUGGAAAAUUUAGACACAGAAGGGAACUAGACAGUUUUCCCCCUGGAGAGAUGAAAAGCUUUUUGGCUCUUAAGUCUUUGAUAAAAGGCGUACAUAAUUCUUGUGUCUACUGUACAGAAUACUGCCUCUAGCUGGAUUUCUGAAUUCUGAGUUGCUAACACUCUGCAAUCCAGACAGGGUUCAACCCUCCAUCUUACACGCCUGCAUUACAGGACUUAAACACAUAAUCCAAGAAUUUCUUACACUAAUUUAUACAUUUUUAAUUGGUUGCAUAUAUUAACAUGUACUAUAAGAUUCUUUUCUAAGAAGCAUUACAUAAUAAAUGGAUACUGUAAAAA